rnacentral:rRNA from 1 species
GAUGAACGCUGGCGGCGUGCCUAAUACAUGCAAGUCGAGCGAACAGACGAGGAGCUUGCUCCUCUGACGUUAGCGGCGGACGGGUGAGUAACACGUGGAUAACCUACCUAUAAGACUGGGAUAACUUCGGGAAACCGGAGCUAAUACCGGAUAAUAUAUUGAACCGCAUGGUUCAAUAGUGAAAGACGGUUUUGCUGUCACUUAUAGAUGGAUCCGCGCCGCAUUAGCUAGUUGGUAAGGUAACGGCUUACCAAGGCGACGAUGCGUAGCCGACCUGAGAGGGUGAUCGGCCACACUGGAACUGAGACACGGCCCAGACUCCUACGGGAGGCAGCAGUAGGGAAUCUUCCGCAAUGGGCGAAAGCCUGACGGAGCAACGCCGCGUGAGAGAUGAAGGUCUUCGGAUCGUAAAACUCUGUUAUUAGGGAAGAACAAAUGUGUAAGUAACUAUGCACGUCUUGACGGUACCUAAUCAGAAAGCCACGGCUAACUACGUG